rnacentral:rRNA from 1 species
GUCUAUGGCCAUACCACCCUGAAUGUACCUGAUCUCGACUGAUCUUGGAAGCUAAGCAGGGUCGGGCCUGGUUAGUACAUGGAUGGGAGGAAGAGACUUUAUGUGGCUCACACC